CUUCGGGGUGCGUCUCCGGGCGUCGAGUGGCGAACGGGUGCGUAACGCGUAGGAAUCUACCUUAUAGUGGGGGACAACUCGGGGAAACUCGAGCUAAUACCGCAUAAGCCUUACGAGGGAAAGCAGGGGAUCUUCGGACCUUGCGCUAUUAGAUGAGCCUGCGUCGGAUUAGCUUGUUGGUAGGGUAAUGGCCUACCAAGGCAACGAUCCGUAGCUGGUCUGAGAGGAUGAUCAGCCACACUGGGACUGAGACACGGCCCAGACUCCUACGGGAGGCAGCAGUGGGGAAUAUUGGACAAUGGGCGCAAGCCUGAUCCAGCAAUGCCGCGUGUGUGAAGAAGGCCUUCGGGUUGUAAAGCACUUUCAGUUGGGAAGAAAAAGCACAAGGUUAAUACCCUUGUGUCNNNGACGGUACCCUUCAGAAGAAAGCACCCGGCUAACUCCGUGCCAGCNNCCGCGGUAAUACGGAGGGUGCAAGCGUUAAUCGGAAUUACUGGGCGUAAAGCGCGCGNAGGCGGUCAUAUAAGUCCGGGUGUGAAAUCCCCGGGCUCAACCUGGGAACUGCAUUCAA
rnacentral:rRNA from 1 species